UACUUCAGGAUUUUGAUAAAGAGACAUAUAGCAUUGGAAUUGUAAAUCAACCUAAACAAAGUUUUACACAGUUUACGAAUUUUAAUGACGAACAACAAACAUGUUUAUACCCAUUUAUUCAAAUAAGUAAUCCAAUUAAUAAAGGCAUGUCUGGUUCACCAGUAAUUGAUAAACAUGACAAUCUUGUUGGAAUGCUUCAAAAAAAAAUCGACAAUUUUGGGUUAGCUUUACCAGCACAUAUUUUAAAAAAUAUAACAUCACAUCUGCAACAUAAAGGAAAAUAUGAAGAGCCGUUUUUAGGAUUAAUAUUAAAAGAAAAGGAAUAUGCAAUAAAAAAUUAUAAACGCGUUAAUAAAGGUAUACUAUUUUGAAUUUAAUCUAUCCCAUUUUGUAUUAAAAAAAAAAAAAAAAAAAAAAAAAAAAA
rnacentral:lncRNA from 1 species